UACGGGGGGAGCAAGCGUUGUUCGGAUUUACUGGGCGUAAAGGGCGCGUAGGCGGCGUAACAAGUCACUUGUGAAAUCUCCGGGCUUAACCCGGAGCGGCCAGGUGAUACUGUUGUGCUAGAGUGCGGAAGGGGCUACUGGAAUUCUCGGUGUAGCGGUGAAAUGCGUAGAUAUCGAGAGGAACACCUGCGGCGAAGGCGGGUAGCUGGGCAGACACUGACGCUGAGGCGCGAAAGCCAGGGGAGCGAACGGG
rnacentral:rRNA from 1 species